rnacentral:rRNA from 1 species
UACGUAGGGUGCAAGCAUUAAUCGGAUUUAUUGGGCGUAAAGGGCGCGUAGGCGGAAGUGCCAGUCAGAUGUGAAAGCCCGGGGCUCAACCCCGGAACAGCAUUUGAAACUACAUUUCUAGAGGGUAGGCGGAGAAAACGGAAUUCCACAAGUAGCGGUGAAAUGCGUAGAUAUGUGGAAGAACACCAGUGGCGAAGGCGGUUUUCUAGCUUAUACCUGACGCUGAGGCGCGAAAGCAAGGGGAGCAAACAG